GCUACGGGUUCAAGCCCCGUCAGUCCCG
rnacentral:tRNA from 1 species